rnacentral:lncRNA from 1 species
UCCCGAAGAAUUCAAUUUCACCAGAUCCAUGUCAAAGACAGUUGGGCAGUCGUUACACCAUUUCAGAUGUUACCAACAACAAAUUGAGUUUCAUACAAAGACAUAAUUUCAGAAUUAUGUUACAGAACAUUUACACAUGAGAUAAAUAAGUACAACCAACAUGCUUCUAAUGUAAAUUUGAAAAUAUCAAUCAAUCAAUUGAUGGUAAAUAAGAAACUGCCUACUCUAGCAUCUGAACAGCAUUGUCUGAGGUAAUGAUACAAAGUUAUAUAUACGUCCCUGUAUAACAACUCAUUCUACAGCAUUUGAACGCGUUGGGAAUUCCAUUCCAUGUAGUGCCGGUAUGUUCUCCAUAUCUUUCUUCGAGAACAACGGAAAGAACCAUAACACCUUAUUUGCGCCAAAAACCUGUUCAAAAUUCCUUUUCCAGCCCAUGUCAUACUUCCACUGCGCGGAUUUUUUCUUCUCAUAAACCU